GGCCUACCAUGGUGGUAACGGGUAACGGGGUGUUAGGGCACGACACCGGAGAGGGAGCCUGAGAAACGGCUACCACAUCCAAGGAUGGCAACAGGCGCGCAAAUUACCCAAUCCCGACACGGGGAGGUAGUGACAAUAAAUAACAAUACGGGGUUCUUUAGGAUCUCGUAAUUGGAAUGGGUACAAUUUAAAUCUCUUAACGAGGAACAAUUGGAGGGCAAGUCUGGUGCCAGCAGCCGCGGUAAUUCCAGCUCCAAUAGCGUAUAUUAAAGUUGUUGCAGUUAAAAAGCUCGUAGUUGAAUUUCGGGGUUAGUAGGUUGGUCAUGCCUCUGGUAUGUACUGGUCUCACUGAUUCCUCCUUCCUGAUGAACCGUAAUGCCAUUAAUUUGGUGUUGCGGGGAAUUUGGACUGUUACUUUGAAAAAAUUAGAGUGUUUAAAGCAAGCUAACGCUUGAAUACAUUAGCAUGGAAUAAUGAAAUAGGACGUUCGAUCCUAUUUUGUUGGUUUCUAGGAUUGACGUAAUGAUUAAUAGGGAUAGUUGGGGGCAUUAGUAUUCAAUUGUCAGAGGUGAAAUUCUUGGAUUUAUUGAAGACUAACUACUGCGAAAGCAUUUGCCAAGGAUGUUUUCAUUAAUCAAGAACGAAAGUUAGGGGAUCGAAGACGAUCAGAUACCGUCGUAGUCUUAACCAUAAACUAUGCCGACUAGGGAUCGGAUGAUGUAAUUUUUUAUGACUCAUUCGNNCUACG
rnacentral:rRNA from 1 species